UCCUGGGUUCCUGCCUCGGUGUACCUGAAA
rnacentral:piRNA from 1 species